AGUGAACGCUGGCGGCAGGCCUAGUACAUGCAAGUCGAACGGCAGCACAGCAGAGCUUGCUCUGUGGGUGGCGAGUGGCGGACGGGUGAGGAAUACAUGGGAAUCUGCCCAGUCGUGGGGGAUAACGUAGGGAAACUUACGCUAAUACCGCAUGCGCCCUUCGGGGGAAAGCCGGGGACCUUCGGGCCUGGCGCGAUUGGAUGAGCCCAUGUCGGAUUAGCUAGUUGGCGGGGUAAUGGCCCACCAAGGCGACGAUCCGUAGCUGGUCUGAGAGGAUGAUCAGCCACACUGGAACUGAGACACGGUCCAGACUCCUACGGGAGGCAGCAGUAGGGAAUAUUGGACAAUGGGCGCAAGCCUGAUCCAGCCAUGCCGCGUGAGUGAAGAAGGCCCUCGGGUUGUAAAGCUCUUUUGUCCGGAAAGAAAGCGCCGGGUUAAUACCCUGGUGUCCUGACGGUACCGGAAGAAUAAGCACCGGCUAACUCGUGCCAGCAGCCGCGGUAA
rnacentral:rRNA from 1 species